rnacentral:rRNA from 1 species
CUGUGAAGAUGCAGUGUACCCGCGGCAAGACGGAAAGACCCCGUGAACCUUUACUAUAGCUUGACACUGAACAUUGAGCCUUGAUGUGUAGGAUAGGUGGGAGGCUUUGAAGUGUGGACGCCAGUCUGCAUGGAGCCGACCUUGAAAUACCACCCUUUAAUGUUUGAUGUUCUAACGUGGACCCGUUACCCGGGUUGCGGACAGUGUCUGGUGGGUAGUUUGACUGGGGCGGUCUCCUCCUAAAGAGUAACGGAGGAGCACGAAGGUUGGCUAAUCCUGGUCGGACAUCAGGAGGUUAGUGCAAUGGCAUAAGCCAGCUUGACUGCGAGCGUGACGGCGCGAGCAGGUGCGAAAGCAGGUCAUAGUGAUCCGGUGGUUCUGAAUGGAAGGGCCAUCGCUCAACGGAUAAAAGGUACUCCGGGGAUAACAGGCUGAUACCGCCCAAGAGUUCAUAUCGACGGCGGUGUUUGGCACCUCGAUGUCGGCUCAUCACAUCCUGGGGCUGAAGUAGGUCCCAAGGGUAUGGCUGUUCGCCAUUUAAAGUGGUACGCGAGCUGGGUUUAGAACGUCGUGAGACAGUUCGGUCCCUAUCUGCCGUGGGCGCUGGAGAACUGAGGGGGGCUGCUCCUAGUACGAGAGGACCGGAGUGGACGCAUCACUGGUGUUCGGGUUGUCAUGCCAAUGGCACUGCCCGGUAGCUAAAUGCGGAAGAGAUAAGUGCUGAAAGCAUCUAAGCACGAAACUUGCCCCGAGAUGAGUUCUCCCUGAGACUUA